rnacentral:rRNA from 1 species
GCGGCGAACGGGGUAGGAUCACGUAGGUGACGUACCCCCAGGACGGGGAUAGCCACGGGAAACUGUGGGUAAUACCCGAUGAACUUCCCUGUUUUGGAUGUGGGGAAGCAAACGUGUGAAUCGGCCUGGGGAGCGGCUUACGCGCUAUUAGCUUGUUGGUGGGGUAACGGCCUACCAAGGCGACGAUGGCUAGGGGGUGUGAGAGCAUGGCCCCCACCACUGGGACUGAGACACUGCCCAGACACCUACGGGUGGCUGCAGUCGAGAAUCUUCGGCAAUGGGCGAAAGCCUGACCGAGCGACGCCGCGUGCGGGAUGAAGGUCUUCGGAUUGUAAACCGCUUUCGGAGAGGAUGAAGUGUAUCGGGGUACUCCCCGAUAUUUGACAGAGUCUCAAAAGAAGCACGGGCUAAGUUCGUGCCAGCAGCCGCGGUAAUACGAACUGUGCGAACGUUAUUCGGAAUCACUGGGCUUAAAGGGUGCGUAGGCGGUGUUCUAAGUCAGGUGUGAAAGCCUCCGGCUCAACCGGAGAACUGCGCUUGAGACUGGAACACUCGAGUGAGGUAGGGGUGUGUGGAACUUCCGGUGGAGCGGUGAAAUGUGUAGAUAUCGGAAGGAACGCCGGUGGCGAAAGCGACACACUGGGCCUUGUCUGACGCUGAGGCACGAAAGCUAGGGGAGUGAACGGGAUUAGAUACCCCGGUAAUCCUA